CACGUAGAUGGCUUUGUAAGUCGGAUGUGAAAUCCCCGGGCUUAACCUGGGAACUGCAUUCGAAACUGCAUUGCUCGAAUGUGGAAGAGGGAAGCGGAAUUCCAGGUGUAGCGGUGAAAUGCGUAGAUAUCUGGAGGAACAUCAGUGGCGAAGGCGGCUUCCUGGUCCAACAUUGACAUUCAGGUGCGAAAGCGUGGGGAGCAAACAGGAUUAGAUACCCUGGUAGUCCACGCCAUAAACGAUGAGAACUAGAUGUCGGGAGGGUUAGCCUUCCGGUGUCGCAGCUAACGCGUUAAGUUCUCCGCCUGGGGAGUACGGCCGCAAGGUUGAA
rnacentral:rRNA from 1 species